AUUUUUUUCUCUAAAAAUAUGUUUAGUGAAUUACCAAAAAUGUUGAUCUAAAUGGUAAUAAGAUUAAAUAGUGCAUUUUAGUGUAUAGAAGGACGGACGCUAUGAUUCGAAGAAACUAAUCACUACCACCAUAAGAAUCGCCCUAUAUCUGUGUAUUUUUAGCUAUGUAAUUCAAGAUAUUAAAGUUUAUGGUGAAGAAUUAGUCUACAGUUCUUCGGCCCGGAUUUCGGGCACGAAUAGCGCAGGUUGAAUGAAGGCGAUCGAGACCCGAGGAUAAAUAUCGUUCUCGGAUCCGACAACGAUUAUAAUAUUAAAAACUCUUACGUCAAAAUCGCUGUCCGACUACAUUAUCGCAACUCUGCGUACACGUAUGCGUAAUAUUUAAUACGUAUACACGCGCUCGGGUACAAAAUUAUAGAGGAAACGACGCUCGGAGGAAUGAUUACUGUUUCGCAUCAUCGUGUUCAAUGUAUAAUAUUAUCAUUGAUCAACGACCAUAUUAAUAUAUAACAUUAUAGGAGGUAUACAUACGCAUAGCUGGUACCCAUACAUAAUAUUAUAAUAACAUUAAUAACGUAUGCAAUCAUAGCGCGCCAGGCAGUCGUGUUGACCAGGUAGAUAGUUACGACGUCGACGCACUGCCCUUUUUUUUUUUUUUUUUUCGAAUCCUCGCGUACGGAAUUCUAUGCGUACGAAAAUAAUGAUAUUGAUUAUCGCUCAUACUAUUUUUAAUUGUCGAUGGGCAUUAUUAUUACCUAUAGCGUAUAAUUGUUUUAUGUACCUACUACUACACGUCAUACGACGACUUCGGCUGUGCGUCAGGACCGUGGAGCAGUUUCGAUCCGCGCAACCACCACGUCGUGCCCUGUGGUGUGUGCAACCGAAUUAUGAGUAUUGCGAAACGUACGUCGUAAACACAAUAAUAAUAAUAUGUCUGCGUAUAGUGUUAUUGCGUGAACUGUCAUUAUUUUUUCGUGCGAGCCGGCCGGUUAUUAUGGUAUACCCGUGAUACGGCCACGGCACAUCCGCAUAAUAUCGUAUACCAAGUGGUGUUGUUUCGAUAUAUCAUAUACGACAGAUACCACAACAAUAAUGUGUUAUUACCUAGCCAUAAAUACCUAUUAUUAUUAUGCUUGCAAACAGGAAAAAUUCGUUUUUUGAGCAUUUUUUAUAUGCCAUUAUUAAAUUCUUGCUCACGCUGGAAUUGAAAUAUAAAUAAUACAAUCUACAGUUGCCAGGUACACUGCGCUAUAUAUUAUUCACAGGAUGUAAAAUAUUAUGUAGGUAUAUGUAUAUAUAACAUGACCGCAAAUCUGUUGUCUGUACACUAAUAAUAAUAAUAAUAAUAUGACUAAUACGAAUAUUAUUAUUAUAAUUAUUACGGUUGGCGAUGCGCUGCAGUGUAACAAGUGGUUACUAUGCCGUAAUACUUGUAAAGUUAAUGAAAAUAAUAUACCAACAUCGGAGAACAGUGGUUAAUUUAUUUUUUAUUUUUUACUAAUUGCUUUGUUGCCGUCUAUUUUUUUCACCAUAAGUCGUUAUGUGGUGUCAUUUGGUAUUCCAUCUUAGCUGAUAGUUAUAAAACAAUAUUACGCAAUAUCCAUUAAGGUCCAUGGGCCUCGCGUAUAAAUUAUUAAAUAUCGCUUGCGUACAAGAGACUUGCGAUGGUGAUUCGGGCGACACGUAAUAUAGUAGGUAUACUGUAAAUACGACAGUAAGUACCUAUUGACUAGCAUAUAACUGCGGUUCGUAUAUUCGUUUUGAACUAGAAAUAUUCAUAUCGAAGCGAAUAAAUUAAUUACAAUUACUGAAUUAUGUACAGCAAUCAAACGGUUUGGUAAAAGAGUAUAUAUCUAUUGUUCUUAUAUUCUCAAAUAUAAUUAUUAAAAAUAGGAAAUGCAUAUCUGGAGUAUGUGGUCAGAAAUUCUACUGUACAGAAAGGAAAUGACAUAUUUAUAGACUAUAGUUCAGGGGUCGGAAACUUAACUUUCCUCUUCUCUCACCUAAAAUAUA